rfam:Thiotrichales bacterium SG8_50 WOR_8-12_19770, whole genome shotgun sequence.
CGCCACCCCGCGGGAGAGACCUCACUCAGUGUGAGGCGCCGAAGGCGCAACCGCCCGGAAUCGCUCAGGCAAAAGGACCGCGGGAAGCAU